GUGACUGUGUUCGACUAACGCCGGCGGCAUAUGUCCAUAAAAGGACCCAGUCGGACAGUUUGGGGGGAACGAAAAGUACGUUACAAAUGAUAACAAGAACAAAAAACGAGCAAACUCCAAUUCCCUUGUAAAAAAAAAACUUAAGGUAUGUAUGGGUAUGAUCAACGUUAAUAGGUACGUUUUCAUUAUGGUGGCCAUCAUGCUGAUGCAACAUUCGUAAUUUCUCUUCUUUUGGGCUGUUUAAUUUUUUUUAAAUUUGUGGGUUCGACAUCUCUCACGCACCCCGGCCAUCAAGCACUAAUCUGAAGGGGCUAUUGUUUCUUGUCCGUAAUCUGGGACGCUGUCCGUAAUCUGGGACGCAGUGUAACCAUAUCCACAUUCCAGAUGUUUCACGUCGAGUUUGCAUGGGGUUGUGCGAUAUACAGAUCAGAUUGUGUUAGAACUAUGGUGUUUUUCUAUGUUUCGAGAAUAUGUUCACGCUUUCAAGUUUGGUGCAAUUCCUUUUUUUUGUACAUGUCAACUCAGCAGACACGAGGUUGGGGCUGCAGGUGGGUUAAAACCAGGUGCAGGAUGAUGGGACGACGAGGAGCGGAGAUCAGAUUAAGCUACCGGUGGUCGACAAGGCAAGUCCGAGGAAGCGGUCGCCGACGUAGCCAGGAAGCCAUAGUUCCAACGGCCUCUACACAGUUCCCCAACUCCAGAGCUGACGCCACCCCAAGGAAAGCAUGAAGAUGAAAGGCCAAGCCAAGCUGACUCCCAGCCAAGCAGUCAUUUCGCUGCCAGACAGAGAGGAGAAAAGCCACGCCACGGGUCUUGAGCUGGUCUCUGAUGAUCAAUAACAUACACCUGCUGCCACGAAGUCAACACACUCCCUUUCACUUCGGUCGGGCAAGAGAGAUAAACACGGGCAAGACCGACUCCUCCCGCCGCAACGGACGUCGCUGAUGGCUUGCGCUGGAAGACGAGCUGUAUCACUGUGGGGAAGGACGCCCGUAUGCAAAUUGCAACAACGGGACCAAGGCUGGGAGCCAUGCAAAAUCCGGAACAACGUCGCCCUAAGGAGCAAGGCCAUGAGAGGAAAAUGCCAGACCGGAGCAGAGCCGCGUACAGCCAAGAUUGCGCUGCUACAACUAUGGAAAUACUGACGCCAGUUUAUGGACUGAUGUACACGUAUUGUCUGCAUUACUAGUAUUUGACUUUACAGACACAAAGACAUAUUGUCUAGUCUAUUAUGUGUAUCAAAGAAUAUACAAGUAAUGUAAUUGACUCAGACGACGACGGUCCAAAUCAAACCAUGUGCGGAUUUACGAAUGGUGGAAAUCCCAUACAGACACACGUACGGUCUCAUUGAUGAGUUUUUAACUGCAUUGGGAGUAAUGGCAUGCAAAAAUACGUGUUUCACAUGGGCGCGUACAAAAUGAACGCACUUGAAAUAUGUUUAUUCUAUUUAUUCUUUGUUGCGCUCAUUUACGUUUUAUCUUGUAAAAAACUUACGACAACAGCUAAACAUUCAGUCUUAUAUGACAAUUAGAACAUGCAUGAAGUUAGUACACACCGCAACGGGGACUGCACAACUCAGAACUGUGUGCCUCCGACCCAGACCGCAGCUACCGAACAUUGCCUGCUAAUUUCUUGAAGUAGAAAGAAACUUUCACCAAUCUAACGUUAGAGAUCAGUUGGGCUGGAUAAAAGGAAAAUUCUCAUCGCUAAAAAAAACACCUCCGUGCAGCCGCUUACUUUUUUGGGCCGUAAUUUGGAGUAAUACAUCAACGGGACCUUACAAAUAUUAUGUAUGCAAGCUGAUGUUGCAUUUCAGUCCGUCACUUGCAACAAGCUAGAUACAACGCAAUGGUUGCUGUAUGUACCGGCAUGUGUUAGUCUAUAUUGUGCCAUGAUUAUUAUUCUCAGACGGUUUCCGGUAAUUCGUUAAAUUUGAUAAUGUGAACUGCAACAGACCGAGAUAAAGUACUAGUAACAAUGUUGUGUGAUGUGAGCGGACAGCUGUGUAACUGUCUGUCAGGUAAGACAGAAUAUAAAGACGAGAGAUUUAUUUCUAAGGCAAUUCAGGAGAGCAACAGACCGAGUGACAUAACAUUAUGACGUCGCAGUUAGUAUACGUUCAAAGUCUCCCGUGCCCAGUGUACGGAAAUCCCUAUCUCUGUGUCAUUUCUUUAUCGUUAACGUGGUCGUCUUCAAAUCAGAAUCCAAAAGAAUUAGUUACAUGUCCAAGAAUACCAUUGUUUAUCAGAGGAAGAAAAUCGUUGUCAGAAACAUCGGUAAACAUUUAUUUUAAUUCUGAAUCAUUUACCAUAUCAAAUUCUACUUUGUUGAAUUCCAAAACCGCCCUGUCAAGGCAUAUCAUUACAUAUUGUAAGAAGCAAAACUUAAUAUACAAAAAUGAACAGCUA